rnacentral:rRNA from 1 species
AUUGAACGCUGGCGGAAUGCUUUACACAUGCAAGUCGAACGGUAGAGGGGGCAACCCCUUGAGAGUGGCGAACGGGUGAGUAAUACGUCGGAACAUGCCCAGUCGUGGGGGAUAACGUAGCGAAAGCUACGCUAAUACCGCAUACGAUCUAUGGAUGAAAGCGGGGGACCGAAAGGCCUCGCGCGAUUGGAGUGGCCGAUGGCAGAUUAGGUAGUUGGUGGGGUAAAGGCCUACCAAGCCUGCGAUCUGUAGCUGGUCUGAGAGGACGACCAGCCACACUGGGACUGAGACACGGCCCAGACUCCUACGGGAGGCAGCAGUGGGGAAUUUUGGACAAUGGGCGCAAGCCUGAUCCAGCCAUUCCGCGUGCAGGAUGAAGGCCCUCGGGUUGUAAACUGCUUUUGUACGGAACGAAAAGGUGGCCUCUAAUACAGGUUGCUGAUGACGGUACCGUAAGAAUAAGCACCGGCUAACUACGUGCCAGCCGCCGCCGUAAGAC